rnacentral:rRNA from 1 species
GACGAACGCUGGCGGCGUGCUUAACACAUGCAAGUCGAACGGAAAGGCCCUGCUUUUGUGGGGUGCUCGAGUGGCGAACGGGUGAGUAACACGUGGGUAACCUGCCCUUGACUUUGGGAUAACUUCAGGAAACUGGGUCUUAUACCGGAUAGGAGCUCCUGCUGCAUGGUGGGGGUUGGAAAGUUUCGGCGGUUGGGGAUGGACUCGCGGCUUAUCAGCUUGUUGGUGGGGUAGUGGCCUACCAAGGCUUUGACGGGUAGCCGGCCUGAGAGGGUGACCGGCCACAUUGGGACUGAGACACGGCCCAGACUCCUACGGGAGGCAGCAGUGGGGAAUAUUGCACAAUGGGCGAAAGCCUGACGCAGCAACGCCGCGUGAGGGAUGAAGGCCUUCGGGUUGUAAACCGCUUUCGCCAGGGACGAAGCGAAAGUGACGGUACCGGGAAAAGAAGCACCGGCCAACUACGUG